rnacentral:rRNA from 1 species
GACGAACGCGGCGGCGUGCCUAAUACAUGCAAGUAGAACGCACAGGAUGCACCGUAGUUUACUACACCGUAUUCUGUGAGUUGCGAACGGGUGAGUAACGCGUAGGUAACCUGCCUGGUAGCGGGGGAUAACUAUUGGAAACGAUAGCUAAUACCGCAUAAGAACAUUUACUGCAUGGUAGAUGUUUAAAAGGUGCAAAUGCAUCACUACCAGAUGGACCUGCGUUGUAUUAGCUAGUAGGUGAGGUAACGGCUCACCUAGGCGACGAUACAUAGCCGACCUGAGAGGGUGAUCGGCCACACUGGGACUGAGACACGGCCCAGACUCCUACGGGAGGCAGCAGUAGGGAAUCUUCGGCAAUGGGGGGAACCCUGACCGAGCAACGCCGCGUGAGUGAAGAAGGUUUUCGGAUCGUAAAGCUCUGUUGUUAAGGAAGAACGAGUGUGAGAAUGGAAAGUUCAUACUGUGACG